rnacentral:lncRNA from 1 species
UGAUCUGAAAGAAAAGGAAAUGAAUUUGGUGAUUCUCUCUCUCACAGGGUGCCACCAUUCAUCUGAUUCUUUGGUAUGAGGGCUCCUGGGCCUGAGGGCCAUUUCAGGGUCACUGAGGCAAACAACUUGGGUCAAGGGUCCUCCUUUCUCAGCCCAUCACCUCACCUGGCCAGUGGGGAGUUGUGCCAGCCCAGAUUCAGAGUCUUCAAUGAAGUUUGAGAAGUGCCCUAGAAAUGGAACUAGAAGACCUGGAUUUCAGUGAGGAUCAGCAGGAUUUGUGGAUGAGUCAUGAAGAGAAGACCUUUCACUUUCGGUAAAUGAGGACAAACUAACCAUCAGUGCAAUAGCUGCAUUCAUUUCAGUGCCCAGUGUAAGUGGUACCAUUCUAAUGAAGAUAAGGCCA